AAGAAUAUAUAAUAUCUUACAAAUUUGUUUAUGAAUUCUAAUUAAUUGAAAACACAAAAAUACAUAUAUGUAACAAAUUUCAUAAAAACAUUUGAUAAUACAAGCAAGCCAAAUAAUCAAAUACUUCCAAUGCACAAUAAAAAUACCUACAAAAUAGAAUCAAAUGAGUUAGAAUAUAUACUAAAUUGUCAAAAUUAUAUGUAAACUAAAUAGUGGAUGUAAAAUUUUAUGCACGGGUAUAGUUAUAUAGAUAAAAGUAUAAUACAUAUGUAUGAGUUCAUGUGUUUACAUAUGUUAUUGUAUUCAAUUCCAACUAAUGCAUUUUUUUGUCACUUAAAUGCACGUGAUUUACAAACAGUUGAAUUGACAAUUCAAGAGAUGUCAGUCAUGAAUACUAUUUGAUUUCAUCAACAUGGUUUCGGUAAAUAUAAUAGUGUUGGGAUCUUAUGCAAGAAAGAAGAAAGUCAACUAGCCUCGGGAACUCCCGGUGUUAUAUUAUUUUCUAAUACAUUCAUGAUAAGAAUCUUUCAUGAAUAUGGCAUGAUACGCAUGCUAAAGUAGAUUGAGAUUUCAUUAAAAUUAAGUGAAGAAUUAAAGAGACACAAGUCUUCACAAGUUAAAGUUUAUGAAGGAACCAUACAGAGCAGACAAUUGAUGUUGUAACAGGAAAAAUUAAAAGGAAAAGAUAGUUAACAAAAUUAAAUACUUUGUUGCUUUUAGUUUAUAUAUAUAACAACAAUAAACUUUAUUACGAAUUUUAUUGUAAUAAUUAAAAGGCUUUCAUGAAAUAAACUCUUUAAAAACCAUCCUUAAAAAAUUGAAUUACACACCUGAAGCACAAUCUCAUUUGCAUUUAACCUUAUAGACUUUUUAGACUUGUAUUAUCCCUACCACAAUCCCCUUUUGAUGUUAGACUUGUACCAGGACAGCACUGCCACAAAAGCUCUUAAAACAUCUUAAAUUGAUAGUAAAAUUGAAAGAUCAAAUCCUACAUUGUACAUUUAUGCAAAGUUUACACCAAGAACUUGGCAUUUAGCCAUGAAUGGUCAUUCAAUCAUCAAAAGUGAUAAACAGUAUUCAUAAGCAUCAAUCUCAUCCACUAUCUUAAUGAACAAAUGAAACAAAUGAAACAAUGAACAAACCUUAUCAAAUUUGAUGAAUCUUGCUUUGAUAAGAGAAAUAUGGAAAUAUGCAACCUAGCAAUAGCAAUUAGUUUAGAGAACAAAACUAUUUUUGAAAGGAAUCCAAACAUGGCCUAAAAAAAUGUCAUGCUUAAUUUCUUUACUAAGCAAGUAAUACCUCCCUUAAAAUGAUGAAUUCUAGCAGCAAGUGGAAGUGCAAUCUCGUCUUCACAAAAAGUAAAGGUUUGGAUCAAAAUUAUGUAUUUUUCAUUAUCAGUCUUCUCUCAAAAUAAAAAUUUAGCUCUAUGUUUACCUUUGCCAUAUACAUCACAUUAUAAUUUGAGAUGACCUCAACAUAUGCUAGGAAGCAAUACUACAGGAAGCUGAUCAAACUUUACAUAGCCAGACAAUACUGACUACAAAUUCAAGCAAAUCUUGUUCAAUAAUAAUUUCUUUGAUUUCAAUCAUCAAGUUUUUCACAUUUAAAAAAAAAAAAAAAGACUCAAGAUAACCAAAAAGAAUGAACAAACACUAGGAAAUAAGCAUCUGAAUGCUAUGCUAAAAUUAAAGUUUAAAUGUUACUCUACAAAAUCAGAGAAAAAGAAAAAGGCACAUUGCAAAAGAUAAUUAAGGUAGAUUUUUUCUUGAGGAUAUUUAAAUGAUCAAAUAACGAAUGAGAAAUAGAGCUAUAAACCUAUUAGGCCAACAACAAAGCAGUCAAAGAAAGGAAAACUGAAUCUCCCAUGCUUCCUAUGUUUGCACAAGUAAACAGUGGUUUCCCAAAACAAAUUGUCAACUUUGCUAACCAAUCAUAAGAUGAAUAUAUAACCACAGUAGGCAGAUGCAAAACUUACCUCCGAGGCAAGGGCUUGUAUCGACAAUUGAAUAUGUUAUACAGGGAAAUGACAUAUCUGAUUAUAUUCCCAAGUUCAAUAGAGAAGGAAACAAGGAAAAGCCAAAGACAUGUGCGUUCUAAUGUGAGCCUGUGUGAAAUUAUUGCUUUCAACUCUAAAAGAUCGCUGAAAACAGGCUAUUGUGGCAAUCUCUUUCAUUCACAACCAACAAAUAUUGGCCACUACAUUAUUUCUAUACUAAUGAUGACACAAACGCCAUAAUUCCCCUUGUAAGAACAACAACAAAUUAUUUUGCACCAUUUUGACUUUUGGUUCUUUAGAAGCUGAAUAUGAAUUUAAGUUCACUUGUUUACCUUAUAAAAAUUUCGCCAUCAAUCUUUGUCAAGAAUCAAAUUAACAACUACCACUUCCAAAUUUUGAUAUUUUUAAGGGGAACGGAUAUCAUGGAACUAAUUGGAACCAUAGUAGAUUAAUUAAUAUUAAUUCAACUUUACAACGAUAAACAUUUAAUCGACCUUAAAAAUUGAUCUUGUUACCUUUCGGACUGUACCAGCGAUUCGAUCAAAAUAAGGAGACCCAUGCCAAAACGGAGGCAAAGAGAGGAGGCGAAGGAAUGAAGGCGGCCCGAGGUGUUUCCCCAAAAAAGAAACCCAUGUCGGGGCACGAUGUUUUUGCCCACAGGGAGACCCAUGCCAGAACAAAGGCAAAGAGAGGAGGCGACGGAGGGUGAAACAAUGCGGUUUCUGAUCCUUGGGGUCGGCCCCGCCGAAUUCCUACUCGACCCGAUCGAUCCCUAGAGUCCUUUUUUUUUUUUUUUAAAUCGAAUUUCGAGUAUCGGAUAAAUUCGAAUUUUAAGCAAA
rnacentral:lncRNA from 1 species